rnacentral:tRNA from 1 species
GGUGGAGUCGCAUAGUCAGGCCUAGUGCGCCCGCCUCGAAAGCGGGUAGGGCGAAAGCCCUCGUGGGUUCGAAUCCCACCUCCACCACCG